rnacentral:rRNA from 1 species
AUUGAACGCUGGCGGCAUGCCUUACACAUGCAAGUCGAACGGUAACGGGCCUUCGGGUGCCGCCGAGUGGCGAACGGGUGAGUAAUACAUCGGAACGUGCCCGAUCGUGGGGGAUAACGAGGCGAAAGCUUUGCUAAUACCGCAUACGAUCUACGGAUGAAAGCAGGGGACCGCAAGGCCUUGCGCGGACGGAGCGGCCGAUGGCAGAUUAGGUAGUUGGUGGGAUAUAAGCUUACCAAGCCGACGAUCUGUAGCUGGUCUGAGAGGAUGAUCAGCCACACGGGGACUGAGACACGGCCCAGACUCCUACGGGAGGCAGCAGUGGGGAAUUUUGGACAAUGGGCGCAAGCCUGAUCCAGCCAUGCCGCGUGCAGGAUGAAGGCCUUCGGGUUGUAAACUGCUUUUGUACGGAACGAAAAGCCUUCUUUUAAUACAGGAGGGUCAUGACGGUACCGUAAGAAUAAGCACCGGCUAACUACGUG